rnacentral:rRNA from 1 species
CCUACGGGAGGCAGCAGUGGGGAAUAUUGGGCAAUGGGCGCAAGCCUGACCCAGCAAUGCCGCGUGAAGGACGAAGGCUUUCGGGUUGUAAACUUCUUUUCUCAGGGACGAAGCAUGUGACGGUACCUCAGGAAUAAGCUACGGUUAACUACGUGCCGGACGCCGCGGUAACACGCAGGGGGCAAGCGUUAUCCGGAUUUACUGGGUGUAAGGGGUGUGUAGGCGGGAAGGUAAGUCAGCUGUGAAAGCCAUGGGCUAAACCGGUGCCCUGCCAUUGAAACUGUUUUUCUUGAGUGCUGGAGAGGCAGGAGGAAUGCGUGGUGUAGCGGUGAAAUGCGUAGAUAUUAGAAAGAACACCGAUUGCGAAGGCAGUCUACUGGACAGCAACUGACGCUGAGGCACGAAAGCGUGGGGAGCAAACAGGAUUAGAUACCCGAGUAGUC